rnacentral:rRNA from 1 species
UACGGAGGGGGCUAGCGUUGUUCGGAAUUAUUGGGCGUAAAGCGGGUGUAGGUGGCUUUGUAAGUCGAGUGUGAAAGCCUGGGGCUCAACCCCAGAAGUGCAUUCGAUACUGCGAAGCUUGAGUGCCGGAGAGGUUAGUAGAAUUGUUGGUGUAGUGGUGAAAUACGUAGAUAUCAACAGGAAUACCGGAGGCGAAGGCGGCUAACUGGCCGGACACUGACACUGAGACCCGAAAGCGUGGGGAUCAAACAGG